rnacentral:misc_RNA from 1 species
UCACCGUAUCAAGCUUGGCUUGUUGUUGGGCCCUUUGUCACCCGGUGACAGGUCCGAAAGACAAUGACCGGUGGAGCAGACUCCAUAUGCAACGAGCUUAUAACAGCACGCAUCUGGCAGUUGUGUGACCCCGGUUUUCACCCCUUCUUUUCUCAA